GCAACGGCCUGCAAAGCCGUCUACACGGGUUCAAAUCCCGUCUCCACCUCCAAGGACGAUUAGCUCAGCGGG
rnacentral:tRNA from 1 species